rnacentral:rRNA from 1 species
GCCAGCAGUCCUGUCGAACUGCAGCUCGCCACUGGCAGCCCACUGGAGCUCAGCAGGUGUGAGCCUGGUUGGUACCUGGAUGGGAGACCUCCUGGGAAAAACCAAGGCUGCUGCUGGAA